UACGUAGGGGGCAAGCGUUGUCCGGAUUUAUUGGGCGUAAAGAGCGUGUAGGCGGCUAGAUAGGUCCGUUGUGAAAACUCGAGGCUCAACCUCGAGACGUCGAUGGAAACCAUCUGGCUAGAGUCCGGAAGAGGAGAGUGGAAUUCCUGGUGUAGCGGUGAAAUGCGCAGAUAUCAGGAGGAACACCGGUGGCGAAGGCGGUUCUCUGGGCAUGAUCUGACGCUGAGGAGCGAAAGUGUGGGGAGCGAACAGG
rnacentral:rRNA from 1 species